rnacentral:snoRNA from 1 species
ACGGCAUGAAAGGGACAUUUUUAAAUGACGUCCUUUAAUCUUUCCCAUGACUCAUGGAACUGCUCACCAUCUUGUUGCGAAAAGCUAGUAAGAGCUCAUCUUAUCUU